GAUGAACGCUGGCGGCGUGCCUAAUACAUGCAAGUCGAGCGAACAGACGAUGAGCUUUCUCCUCUGACGUUAGCGGCUGACGGGUGAGUAACACGUGGAUAACCUACCUAUUAUACUGGGAUAACUUCGGGAAACCGGAGCUAAUACCGGAUAAUAUAUUGAACCGCAUGGUUCAAUAGUUCAAGACGCUUUUGCUGUCACUUAUAGAUGGAUCCGCGCCGCAUUAGCUAGUUGGUAAGGUAACGGCUUACCAAGGCAACGAUGCGUAGCUGACCUGAGAGGAUGAUCGGCCACACUGGAACUGAGACACGGUCCAGACUCCUACGGGAGGCAGCAGUAGGGAAUCUUCCGCAAUGGGCGAAAGCCUGAUGGAGCAACGCCGCGUGAGUGAUGAAGGUCUUCGGAUCGUAAAACUCUGUUAUUAGGGAAGAACAAAUGUGUAAGUAACUAUGCACGUCUUGACGGUACUUAAUCAGAAAGCCACGGCUAACUACGUG
rnacentral:rRNA from 1 species